GACGAACGCUGGCGGCGUGCUUAACACAUGCAAGUCGAACGGUGAAGCGCCUUCCUUUUUGGUGGGUGUGGAUGAGUGGCGAACGGGUGAGUAACACGUGAGUAACCUGCCCCCUUCUUCUGGAUAACCGCAUGAAAGUGUGGCUAAUACGGGAUAUUCUGGGUCUGUCGCAUGAUGGGUCUGGGAAAGAUAUUGUUUCGGUGGGGGAUGGGCUCGCGGCCUAUCAGCUUGUUGGUGGGGUGAUGGCCUACCAAGGCGGUGACGGGUAGCCGGCCUGAGAGGGUGGACGGUCACACUGGGACUGAGACACGGCCCAGACUCCUACGGGAGGCAGCAGUGGGGAAUAUUGCACAAUGGGCGCAAGGCUGAUGCAGCGACGCCGCGUGAGGGAUGGAGGCCUUCGGGUUGUGAACCUCUUUCGCCAGUGAAGCAGGCCUGCCUCGUUUGUGGGUGGGUUGACGGUAGCUGGAUAAGAAGCGCCGGCUAACUACGUG
rnacentral:rRNA from 1 species